rfam:Choloepus hoffmanni cont1.661370, whole genome shotgun sequence.
AUGUAUGCAUGCAAGUCCUUAGGAUGGAACUAACCCGAGCCCUUUCCUUCACAGCCGAGGCUCACUGCCCCCGCUGGGCAGUGGGUCGGUGGAUG